UACUUCCGCUGGCAGAUGGCGUUUAAAAUGAAGCCGCCUUAAGAAAACGAACAGCGACUCUAUAUUUUCGAGUUGCACAUCGUCGUAUACAGUGCUGCCAAUAACUUUGCAGGUGUUUAGGUGAAUCGUGCUUGGGUUAAAAACCUCUUGUUUUCGUCAGCGACAAUAUAUUCGGCGCUUUGUUUGGUCAUGCAGUAGUUGCCUCCACCCCCGGGCCCAAGGCGAAGCCAGGGGGAACCAGGCAACCGAGGCCAUCCCGCCUCCCCCACAGCCACCUCUGUACAAGGAGGCCCACAGAGGGGGGAUGGGCAGCGAGCCCCCCCCCAUUCCCACCCGCGACCCUUCCACUGAGGCAAGCAGGUCCAAGGCCAAAGGGCCCCAUCAACCGGGACGCCCCUCCCCACACCCCAAGGCCCUAAUGUAAUAUGGACUGCGUAUAUGACUAAAGUGCAAAAAACGGGCAAGCAGUCGAGGCACGGUCACCCCACUGCUGGCAGACGGCAGAGCACCAUCUGCCUUAACCCGCCUUCUUAGCCCUAGUGUCAUGUGGUAUAUAAUAUGCAAGUGAAAAUUGAGGGGCAGUCUCUCGGCACACCUCAGUCAACCGGGGUAUUCAGUGGCACCACAGGCAGCCCAGCAAGUCCCCCCCCCCCCCCCCCCCCCCCGCCAAGCACAGACCGAAAGAGUCCUACCCCAUCACGCCCAAUGGGACUCCAAGUAACAGCCAAGGACGGGACAACCCCAGACUCAUCUCGGCAAAUGGAGAGCCGAUCCAGCCAGGCAGGGUUACCCAGGCCCCCCCCAGGCAAGGCGGAGGCCCCUUCAACAAUACCCUCCAACACUGUGGCCCUCGGACACUGUGGGAACGCCAACGGCAGACACCGAACCCCCCCCUCCAUAUGUAUUAUGUGUUCAGUUUCACAGUGCCUCUUUUAGUAAACAUCUCAAACUGCAAGAACUAGCUUCAUGGAUGUUAAUUGGAGGAGCCUGUUAGCUAUCUGUCAAGCUAAAACCUGUGCUCUCACAUUAGGAAGGACAGAAUAGUGCGAGUAAAAGGCAUAAUUUUUUUUUAAUUCGUAAUUUUUUCCGUAAUUAAUUCAUUCAAAAUAUCGCAUUAAAGUACCUGCCCUAAAAUACUCCAUAAUACUAUACCCAGCUCCAUCUCAAUAUCUGAGCGUGUGUAUAUAGCCCUGUGUUUGUAUUUGUUAACAUAGAUAGUUGUGCUGAGUAUCCGGUUGUCGCGGGUGCCUUUAAAUAUGGUUGUACUCUCUUCUUGCCUGAUCCUCAUGUGUCUUGCCAUUGUGUAAUUAACCACCAUGUGUGUGCCUUGCUGUCCUCAGUGUAUCUUCCCUGUGUUUCCCUGUCAUUCAUGGCUUUUGUGUUAUUGUUGCUUGAUGUGGGGUCCCAUUAAGGAGUAACAUAAAAAACAACUUUGCGCCAGUCCAUCUCUCGUCAUUUUCAUUCGCUGCUACUGCGAUUCUUUGAUCUGCUUGGCGCUUCAAUACAGUACAUAAAAUAUUACUUGUUUCGCUGCUGCAUCUGUGUGUUGUUUUUGCAGUUUAUCAUAUACUUUGCUGAGUCUAUAUUUAUCAUUGAGAGAAAUGUUCCAUUAUAUUUUCUGUGCACGUAGCUAGCUAGAAGCAGACGGGUUACCGCAAGGCAAAGUAGGCUUAUCAAUGUAAAGUAAAAAAACAAUUUCCCAACCUAA